rnacentral:rRNA from 1 species
CCUACGGGAGGCUGCAGUGGGGAAUAUUGGACAAUGGGGGCAACCCUGAUCCAGCCAUGCCGCGUGUGUGAAGAAGGCCCUCGGGUUGUAAAGCACUUUCAGUGAGGAAGAACGCCUGGUGGUUAAUACCCAUCAGGAAAGACAUCACUCACAGAAGAAGCACCGGCUAACUCCGUGCCAGCAGCCGCGGUAAUACGGAGGGUGCGAGCGUUAAUCGGAAUUACUGGGCGUAAAGCGCGCGUAGGUGGCUUGAUAAGCCGGUUGUGAAAGCCCCGGGCUCAACCUGGGAACGGCAUCCGGAACUGUCAAGCUAGAGUGCAGGAGAGGAAGGUAGAAUUCCCGGUGUAGCGGUGAAAUGCGUAGAGAUCGGGAGGAAUACCAGUGGCGAAGGCGGCCUUCUGGACUGACACUGACACUGAGGUGCGAAAGCGUGGGUAGCAAACAGGAUUAGAUACCCCAGUAGUC